GGUAACGUAGUCUUAUAUUCAUUAUUAAUGGAUCAAGAAUCUACUCAUCUAUAUUAUUCUUUAAGAAGAGUUUAUCUUAUCUCCCCAUCACCCCAACCAAACAAUUUUAAGUCAAACUCUACCCCCCUCUAAAUAAAUUUAUCCCUUAUGAUUGUCAAACUCUAUAGGGUCUUCUCGUCCUCCAACGCUAUUUCAGCCUUUUGACUGAAAAGUUAAAUUAUAACCCAAUCCUUAUGAGACAGUAAACACCUCGUCCAACCAUUCAUACCAGCCCCUAAUUAAGAGACUAAUGAUUAUGCUACCUUUGCACGGUCAAAAUACCGCGGCCCUUCAAUAUUUCAGCGGGCAGGCUAGACCUCUUACAAUUACAAGAAGCG
rnacentral:rRNA from 1 species